CGGGGGCUAGAAACCAUGCGUCACGAGCUCAGUCGCUCAAAUAGGACAUGUCAACGAAAUACCAGAACUCCAACUCACCAGAUUAUAUGGAAAAGACAGGAUCCGUGCACAAAGACUGGCCCAUAAAAAUUGGAAAUUUGGAAGUGGUAAGCUGACCCUCUCUCCCGGUGGUCUUGCUAGCCUCGUGGCCUUUACCACCAAGCUCCGCUUGAGAAAGCUCGGGACUGGGUUCUCCAAAGAUGUCAGGAGAAAGCCCUUUGAAGAUGCAAAGGAUGCGUCAGACACCGUGUGGAUAUAAAAACACAAUGCGGCAGCUAAGAAAUUACGGAGUCAGAACACAGAAGAGUGUACAAAACACAAGAACAUUUAUGUUUCUAGAAAACCCCUCAGGA
rnacentral:lncRNA from 1 species